rnacentral:rRNA from 1 species
AGUGAACGCUGGCGGUAGGCCUAACACAUGCAAGUCGAACGGCAGCACAGAGGAGCUUGCCCCUUGGGUGGCGAGUGGCGGACGGGUGAGGAAUACAUCGGAAUCUACUCUGUCGUGGGGGAUAACGUAGGGAAACUUACGCUAAUACCGCAUACGACCUACGGGUGAAAGCAGGGGAUCUUCGGACCUUGCGCGAUUGAAUGAGCCGAUGUCGGAUUAGCUAGUUGGCGGGGUAAAGGCCCACCAAGGCGACAAUCCGUAGCUGGUCUGAGAGGAUGAUCAGCCACACUGGAACUGAGACACGGUCCAGACUCCUACGGGAGGCAGCAGUGGGGAAUAGUGGACAAUGGGCGCAAGCCUGAUCCAGCCAUACCGCGUGGGUGAAGAAGGCCUUCGGGUUGUAAAGCCCCUUUGUUGGGAAAGAAAUCCAUCUGGUUAAUACCCGGGUGGGAUGACGGUACCCAAAGAAUAAGCACCGGCUAACUUCGUGCCAGCAGCCGCCGUAA